GGGUGGUGAGAAAUUUAGCAAGAGUUGCUAGUGUGCCCUAGGGUUUGGUUUUUCCAUAUGUUAGAGCCAAAAAUCAAAUCCUAAGUUGUGAGACAUCUAAAGAGUAUCUUCUUGAUGUAAUCUUGGUGGCAAGCUUGGAGGUGAUUGGGCUUUGGUGCAAUCAUACUAUGAGUUCGAAGCCGACAGUAUUCUUGAGAAGACAAGGCUACGGUAGCACACCAGUUAGGAAGGACCGUGGCCAACUUCUGUGUGGAUCACCAUUGGAGGACUUCUAUUUUGGAGUCUCAUGGAGAACACCAACA
rnacentral:lncRNA from 1 species